CGUUGGUGAACCAGCGGAGGGAUCAUUACCGAGUAUCUACUCAUAACCCUUUGUGAACCAAAUUGUUGCUUCGGCGGCUCGUCCGCGAGCCCGCCGGUACAUCAGUCUCUAUAUUUUUACCAACGAUACUUCUGAGUGUUCUUACGAACUAUUAAAACUUUUAACAACGGAUCUCUUGGCUCUAGCAUCGAUGAAGAACGCAGCGAAACGCGAUAUGUAGUGUGAAUUGCAGAAUUCAGUGAAUCAUCGAAUCUUUGAACGCACAUGGCGCCUUCCAGUAUCCUGGGAGGCAUGCCUGUCCGAGCGUCGUUUCAACCCUCGAGCCCCAGUGGCCCGGUGUUGGGGAUCUACUUCUGUAGGCCCUUAAAAUCAGUGGCGGACCCGCGUGGCCCUUCCUUGCGUAGUAAUUUUCGCUCGCAUCGGAGUCCCGUAGGCACCAGCCUCUAAACCCCCUACAAGCCCGUCUCGUACGGCAAC
rnacentral:misc_RNA from 1 species